GCUGGGUGUGGUGAUGCAUGCCUGUAAUUCAAGCUACUCAGGAGGCUGAUGAAGGAGGAUGGCAAGUUUAAGGCCAGCCUCUGCAACUU
rnacentral:sRNA from 1 species